UACGAAGGGGGCUAGCGUUGCUCGGAAUCACUGGGCGUAAAGCGCACGUAGGCGGCUUCUUAAGUCAGGGGUGAAAUCCUGGAGCUCAACUCCAGAACUGCCUUUGAUACUGAGGAGCUUGAGUCCGGGAGAGGUGAGUGGAACUGCGAGUGUAGAGGUGAAAUUCGUAGAUAUUCGCAAGAACACCGGUGGCGAAGGCGGCAUCCUGGACCGGUAUUGACGCUGAGGCGCGAAAGCCAGGGGAGCAAACGGG
rnacentral:rRNA from 1 species